rnacentral:tRNA from 1 species
GCGGGAGUAGCUCAUCGGUAGAGCAUGACAUUUGGGAUGCCAGUGUAAUGGGUUCGAUUCCCAUCUCCCGCU